rnacentral:rRNA from 1 species
GACGGGGGGAGCAAGCGUUGUUCGGAUUUACUGGGCGUAAAGGGCGCGUAGGCGGCCACCGCAAGUCGACUGUGAAAUCUCUGGGCUUAACCCAGAACGGUCAGCCGAUACUGCGGGGCUAGAGUGCAGAAGGGGCAACUGGAAUUCUCGGUGUAGCGGUGAAAUGCGUAGAUAUCGAGAGGAACACCUGCGGCGAAGGCGGGUUGCUGGGCUGACACUGACGCUGAGGCGCGAAAGCUAGGGGAGCGAACGGG